AUUGAACGCUGGCGGCAGGCCUAACACAUGCAAGUCGAGCGGAGCGGCGGACGGGUGAGUAAUGCCUAGGAAUCUGCCUGGUAGUGGGGGAUAACGUCCGGAAACGGGCGCUAAUACCGCAUACUAUCAGAUGGGCCUAGGUCAGAUUAGCUAGUUGGUGGGGUAAAGGCCUACCAAGGCGACGAUCCGUAACUGGUCUGAGAGGGUGAUCAAUCAGAGUGUAAUAGAGAUACAGUCCAGAAGCCUGCAGGAGGCGUAAGAUGGGAAUUUUGGACAAUGGGCAAAGGCCUGAUCCAGCCAUGCAGCGUGUGUGAAGAAGGCCUUCGGAUUGUGAAGCACUUUAAGUAGGAAGACUUUACCGACAGAAUAAGCAACUACUAACUUCGUGCCAGAAGCCGCGGUAAUGC
rnacentral:rRNA from 1 species